rnacentral:misc_RNA from 1 species
GAUGAAGAACGUAGCGAAAUGCGAUAAGUAGUGUGAAUUACAGAAUUCAGUGAAUCAUCGAAUCUUUGAACGCACAUUGCGCCCUUUGGUAUUCCUUAGGGCAUGCCUGUUCGAGCGUCAUUUAUACCUUCAAGCUCAGCUUGGUGAUGGGUGACUGUCCUCCCCUCGCGGGGGGACUCGCCUCAAAAACAUUGGCGGCCGGUACAUUGGCUUCGAGCGCAGCAGAAACGCGGUCUCGAGCCCGGUGGAUCGGCUCCCAUAAGUCUAUUCUUUUAUUUUGACCUCGGAUCAGGUAGGGAUACCCGCUGAACUUAAGCAUAUCAAUAAGCGGAGGA